rnacentral:rRNA from 1 species
CCGGGGACUCUAGCGGAACUGCCAGCGUAAGCUGCGAGGAAGGUGGGGAUGACGUCAAAUCAGCACGGCCCUUACGUCCAGGGCUACACACGUGUUACAAUGGCCAGUACAGAGGGCAGCCACCCCGCGAGGGGGCGCUAAUCCUAAAAGCUGGUCCCAGUUCGGAUCGGAGUCUGCAACCCGACUCCGUGAAGCUGAAUUCGCUAGUAAUCGCGCAUCAGCCACGGCGCGGUGAAUACGUUCCCGGGCCUU